UACGGAGGGUGCGAGCGUUAAUCGGAAUUACUGGGCGUAAAGGGCGCGUAGGCGGUGAAGUCAGUCGGGUGUGAAAGCCCCGGGCUCAACCUGGGAACGGCAUCCGAUACUGCUUCGCUAGAGUAUGGUAGAGGGAAGCGGAAUUCCGGGUGUAGCGGUGAAAUGCGUAGAUAUCCGGAGGAACACCAGUGGCGAAGGCGGGAUCCUGGGCCGUUGCUGACGCUGAGGCGCGAAAGCUGGGGGAGCGAACAGGAUUAGAUACCCCGGUAGU
rnacentral:rRNA from 1 species